CCGAGUUCACAACUCCCAAACCCCUGUGAACAUACCUUUAUGUUGCCUCGGCGGAUCAGCCCGCGCCCCGUAAAACGGGACGGCCCGCCGCAGGAAACCCUAAACUCUGUUUUUAGUGGAACUUCUGAGUAUAAAAAACAAAUAAAUC
rnacentral:misc_RNA from 1 species